rnacentral:rRNA from 1 species
AGCUCCAAUAGCGUAUAUUAAAGUUGCUGCAGUUAAAAAGCUCGUAGUUGGAUUUCUGGCACGAUGUGCCUGGCCCGCGCCGUUAGGUUGUGAGUGCCGGGUUGCGUCUGCCAUCCUUCUAGACAGCGCCUCUACCCCUCACGGGGCCGGAGGUCGCCAUCUAGAUCUUUUACUUUGAAAAAAUUAGAGUGUUUCAAGCAGGCUUUUGCUAUGAAUACAUUAGCAUGGAAUAAUCAACUAGGACUUCGGUUCUAUUUUGUUGGUUUCUAGGACUGAAGUAAUGAUUGAUAGGGUUAGUUGGGGGUGCUAGUAUUCAGCGGCCAGAGGUGAAAUUCUCGGAUUCGCUGAAGACUAACUAAUGCGAAAGCAUUCGCCAAGGAUAACCCCU